AUUGAACGCUGGCGGCAGGCCUAACACAUGCAAGUCGAGCGGAUGAAGGGAGCUUGCUCCUGGAUUCAGCGGCGGACGGGUGAGUAAUGCCUAGGAAUCUGCCUGGUAGUGGGGGAUAACGUCCUGAAACGGGCGCUAAUACCGCAUACGUCCUGAGGGAGCAAGUGGGGGAUCUUCGGACCUCACGCUAUCAGAUGAGCCUAGGUCGGAUUAGCUAGUUGGUGGGGUAAAGGCCUACCAAGCCGACGAUCCGUAACUGGUCUGAGAGGAUGAUAAGUCACACGAGAACGGAGACACGGUCAAUACUACUGAGAGAGGGAGCAGAGGGGAAUAUUGGACAAUAGGGGAGAGUAUGACACAAUGAGGCGACGUGUGUGAAGAAGGUCUUCGGAGUGUAAAGCACUUUAAGUUGGGGGGAAGGGCAGUAAGUUAAUACCUUGCUGUUUUGACGGUACCAACAGAAUAAGCACCGGCUAACUUCGUG
rnacentral:rRNA from 1 species